CAAAAACACAAAAAAUUUAAAAGAUAUCAAUAAAUUAAAAUUUUAAUGUGAGUUGGGGCCCGGGCUUGGCACAACCAAAUGACACUAGUAUUAAAGUAUAAGAAACGACCACUGCAAGUUGACUUUGCUGAGGAAAGUCUUGCAGUAGCAUUCCCUGCUAGCUAGUCUCUUCUAAUACAUUACACCAAGUCUGAGAAAAACUAGAUCGAGGGUGAAAUGAAGCUUCCUAGCAAGCUCCUAGCUAGUCCAGUGCUCAAGUGUUUUAGUUUUUCACUCAGGCUAAUUGGCUUGUGUUACGUUGUCGGUACAAAAAAUAUGUAGUGUUCUAUUGGUAUGUCCAAUUGUUCAAGUUUUAAGGAAUAUUCUUGUUAUGAUUUUCUUUUGUUUUCUUGGUGUUUAGCUCUUUAAUUUAUUUAGACAAUUGUUUCGAGGUUGGAAGAUGAAAUCAAGGGCGCAAUUGUUCAAGUUUUAAGGAAUAUUCUUGAUAGGAUUUUCUUUUCUUAUCUUGGGGUUUAGCUCUUUUUAAUUUAUUUAGACAAUUGUUUCAAGGUUGGAAGAUGAAAUCAAGGGCACAACAACGUUUAUAGAUAUGGAUAUUGGGAUGUCAAUAAGAGAAAUAACAAAUAGACAUUGGUAUUCCUUACAAUGAAAAGUGCUAACAUUUUUAUUUUUUGAGAUUUACACGCCAAUCAUUCUCAGAAGUUUGAAUAAUUUUUCAAAUAAUUAAAUGUGAUC